rnacentral:rRNA from 1 species
UACGGGGGGGAGCAAGCGUUGUUCGGAUUUACUGGGCGUAAAGCGCGCGCAGGCGGUCCUUUAAGUCUGAUGUGAAAGCCCACGGCUCAACCGUGGAGGGUCAUUGGAAACUGGGGGACUUGAGUGCAGGAGAGAAGAGUGGAAUUCCACGUGUAGCGGUGAAAUGCGUAGAGAUGUGGAGGAACACCAGUGGCGAAGGCGACUCUUUGGCCUGUAACUGACGCUGAGGCGCGAAAGCGUGGGGAGCAAACAGG